rnacentral:lncRNA from 1 species
GAAAUAUGCCUCGUCCAAAUGGACUAUGUCAUGUGGGUAAAAGGCACAGCAGAGCACGAAGGCCUCACAACAGAAAAAAACUGGUUGAAAUAGUCUUGGUUUUGUGAGAGAAAUCUCCCACUUACGGGUAUCAUCUCCAGAUUUAAUAAGAUGGGCCCCGAGUUGAAUUGCUGAAGAAUGACUGAUUUCUCUCUUCCCUUGAUGUGAAGACUGAGUCUUUUGUAGGUGCCACCUCAGUGUUCCCUCCCAGAAAUCCCCUUUUGGAGUUGUAGGUUCUUCUGGUUGUGCUAUAUGGGAUGCUGCCUCAACGUGGCUUGAUGAGCAGAGCCAUGUCUGUGCCCAGGAUCCGAACCAGUGAAACCCUGGGCCGCCAAAGCAGAGUGUGCCAACUUAAUCGCUCGGCCACAGGGCUGUCCCCUCUCAGAGGAUUCUUAUCUCCAAGGCUUAAGGAGCCUUGGAUUUGACUGCUGUAUGUCCACCAUCUCAUGGUGCAGCAUACAUAGAAAAUGACAAAUGAGAAUUUCAAAUGGGGGGUUUGACUGCCCUUGUGUCUGCUGCCCAGCUGCCUGGGGGCUGAGGAGGCUCAGGAUCGUGCACGCCUAUAACGGAAGCCCUGUACCAGACCGCAGCUCCGGCCAGAUAAGGGGUGUCACUGUGAUUUCUCAGCCUUGGCUGUUGUGGCUGUGUGGUUGUUCAACUCCCAGCCCUGAGUGUCUGUGUACGGGCUUCCCUGGAUUUUCUCAGAAAUCCAAAUGGUUGGCGCAAGGAUUCAGACAGACUUUGGAAACUGAGCUGCUGAGAGUUGAGAGCCCAGCUGGUAAGAAAUCAAAGGAACCCUUGCCUUGGGGAGAGCUUCUUAUUCAUCAAGACCAAAUAGGUAACCCAGAGAUGAAGAACGCAAGUAACCAUUGCAGUUAACUCUUUUUCUA